rnacentral:guide_RNA from 1 species
UAAAACUACGAGUAGAUUCUAUGAUUGAUGAACGUGUAAAUUUAG